rnacentral:rRNA from 1 species
ACUCCUACGGGAGGGCAGCAGUAGGGAAUCUUCCACAAUGGGCGCAAGCCUGAUGGAGCAACACCGCGUGAGUGAAGAAGGGUUUCGGCUCGUAAAGCUCUGUUGUUAAAGAAGAACACGUAUGAGAGUAACUGUUCAUACGUUGACGGUAUUUAACCAGAAAGUCACGGCUAACUACGUGCCAGCAGCCGCGGUAAUACGUAGGUGGCAAGCGUUAUCCGGAUUUAUUGGGCGUAAAGAGAGUGCAGGCGGUUUUCUAAGUCUGAUGUGAAAGCCUUCGGCUUAACCGGAGAAGUGCAUCGGAAACUGGAUAACUUGAGUGCAGAAGAGGGUAGUGGAACUCCAUGUGUAGCGGUGGAAUGCGUAGAUAUAUGGAAGAACACCAGUGGCGAAGGCGGCUACCUGGUCUGCAACUGACGCUGAGACUCAAAAGCAUGGGUAGCGAACAGGAUUAGAUACCCUGGUAGGAUAGCG